rnacentral:rRNA from 1 species
UACGGAGAGUGCAAGCGUUAAUCGGAAUUACUGGGCGUAAAGCGCGCGUAGGCGGUUUUUUAAGUCGGAUGUGAAAGCCCCGGGCUCAACCUGGGAACUGCAUCCGAUACUGGAAGACUAGAAUGCGGGAGAGGGAGGUAAAAUUCCAUGUGUAGCAGUGAAAUGCGUAGAUAUAUGGAGGAAUACCAGUGGCGAAGGCGGCCUCCUGGCUCGACAUUGACGCUGAGGUGCGAAAGCGUGGGGAGCAAACGGG